rnacentral:rRNA from 1 species
AGCUCACUAGUCGAGUCGGCCUGCGCGGAAGAUGUAACGGGGCUAAAACUAUGUGCCGAAGCUGCGGAUGUAUACUUUGUAUACGUGGUAGGGGAGCGUUCUGUAAGCCGAUGAAGGUGUGUUGAGAAGCAUGCUGGAGGUAUCAGAAGUGCGAAUGCUGACGUGAGUAACGACAAAACGGGUGAAAAACCCGUUCGCCGNGAAAGACCAAGGGUUCCAGUCCAACGUUAAUCGGGGCUGGGUGAGUCGACCCCUAAGGCGAGGCCGAAAGGCGUAGUCGAUGGGAAAAUGGUUAAUAUUCCAUUACUUCUGUGUAAUGCGAUGAGAGGACGGAGAAGGCUAAAUCAGCCUGGCGUUGGUUGUCCAGGUGAAAGGAUGUAGGCAUGUAUCUUAGGCAAAUCCGGGGUACUCUAUGCUGAGAUCUGAUAGCAAGCUGUACUUGUACAGCGAAGUGGUUGAUGCCAUGCUUCCAGGAAAAGUCUCUAAGCUUCAGUUACACAGGAAUCGUACCCGAAACCGACACAGGUGGUCAGGUCGAGUAGACCAAGGCGCUUGAGAGAACUCUGCUGAAGGAACUAGGCAAAAUGGUACCGUAACUUCGGGAGAAGGUACGCUGUUGUUGGUGAUGGAACUCGCUUCCUGAGCUGACGACAGCCGCAGAAACCAGGCCGCUGCAACUGUUUAUUAAAAACAUAGCACUCUGCAAACACGAAAGUGGACGUAUAGGGUGUGAUGCCUGCCCGGUGCUGGAAGGUUAAUUGAUGGGGUUAGCGUAAGCGAAGCUCUUGAUCGAAGCCCCAGUAAACGGCGGCCGUAACUAUAACGGUCCUAAGGUAGCGAAAUUCCUUGUCGGGUAAGUUCCGACCUGCACGAAUGGCAUAAUGAUGGCGGCGCUGUCUCCAGCAGAGGCUCAGUGAAAUCGAAAUCGCUGUGAAGAUGCAGUGUACCCGCGGCUAGACGGAAAGACCCCGUGAACCUUUACUGCAGCUUGACACUGAACUUUGACCUUACUUGUGUAGGAUAGGUGGGAGGCUUUGAAGCUGGAACGCUAGUUCCAGUGGAGCCGUCCUUGAAAUACCACCCUGGUAAUGUUGAGGUUCUAACUCUGUCCCGUGAUCCGGGACGAGGACCGUGUCUGGUGGGUAGUUUGACUGGGGCGGUCUCCUCCUAAAGAGUAACGGAGGAGUACGAAGGUGCGCUCAGCGUGGUCGGAAAUCACGCGUAGAGUAUAAAGGCAAAAGCGCGCUUAACUGCGAGACCCACAAGUCGAGCAGGUACGAAAGUAGGUCUUAGUGAUCCGGUGGUUCUGUAUGGAAGGGCCAUCGCUCAACGGAUAAAAGGUACUCUGGGGAUAACAGGCUGAUACCGCCCAAGAGUUCAUAUCGACGGCGGUGUUUGGCACCUCGAUGUCGGCUCAUCUCAUCCUGGGGCUGAAGCAGGUCCCAAGGGUAUGGCUGUUCGCCAUUUAAAGAGGUACGCGAGCUGGGUUUAGAACGUCGUGAGACAGUUCGGUCCCUAUCUACCGUGGGCGCUGGAAAUUUGAGAGGAUCUGCUCCUAGUACGAGAGGACCAGAGUGGACGAACCUCUGGUGUACCGGUUGUGACGCCAGUCGCAUCGCCGGGUAGCUAUGUUCGGAAGGGAUAACCGCUGAAAGCAUCUAAGCGGGAAGCCUACCUCAAGAUAAGAUUUCCCUAGGACUUUAUGUCCUCUAAAGAGCCGUUCGAGACUAGGACGUUGAUAGGUUGGAUGUGGAAGCAUAGUGAUAUGUGAAGCUGACCAAUACUAAUUGCUCGUGAGGCUUGACUAUACAACACCCAAGCAGUUG